AAAUGAAAGGGAUUGGAAACGGGGCGCAGCAACAGGAAAAUGCGAGUUGAUAGUACCAUAAAAAACCUCUCUGAUUACUCGUAUAUAAAAUUAAAAAUGGCUGAAAGUUGAAGCAGGUAACCCUUCAAUAAUGUUGAGAAACAUUCUUCCUAUUUGCUCAAGAUGUCUGCUGUAGCAAUGUAUCUGUUUGCAGUUUAAAUUCGAUGUUUUAUGAAUUAGUAAUCAUGAUUGAUCACACUUACUAUAUUUAAUUCUAUAUUUUGUUUUGUACAACCUA
rnacentral:lncRNA from 1 species